rnacentral:rRNA from 1 species
GACGAACGCUGGCGGCGUGCUUAACACAUGCAAGUCGAACGGAAAGGCCCUGCUUUUGUGGGGUGCUCGAGUGGCGAACGGGUGAGUAACACGUGAGUAACCUGCCCUUGACUUUGGGAUAACUUCAGGAAACUGGGGCUAAUACCGGAUAGGAGCUCCUGCUGCAUGGUGGGGGUUGGAAAGUUUCGGCGGUUGGGGAUGGACUCGCGGCUUAUCAGCUUGUUGGUGGGGUAGUGGCUUACCCAGGCGUUGACGGGUAGCCGGCCUGAGAGGGUGACCGGCCACAUUGGGACUGAGAUACGGCCCAGACUCCUACGGGAGGCAGCAGUGGGGAAUAUUGCACAAUGGGCGGAAGCCUGAUGCAGCAACGCCGCGUGCGGGAUGACGGCCUUCGGGUUGUAAACCGCUUUCGCCUGUGACGAAGCGUGAGUGACGGUAAUGGGUAAAGAAGCACCGGCUAACUACGUG